rnacentral:rRNA from 1 species
UACGUAGGAGGCAAGCGUUUGUCCGGAAUUACUGGGCGUAAAGCGCGUGUAGGUGGUGGGACAAGUCUGCUGUGAAAUCCCCAGGCUUAACCUGGGAAGUGCGCGCGAAACUGACGAGCUUGAGUGCCGGAGAGGGUCGCGGAAUUCCCGGUGUAGAGGUGAAAUUCGUAGAUAUCGGGAGGAACACCAGUGGCGAAGGCGGCGACCUGGACGGACACUGACGCUGAGACGCGAAAGCGUGGGGAGCAAACAGG